rnacentral:rRNA from 1 species
UACAGAGGUCUCAAGCGUUGUUCGGAUUCAUUGGGCGUAAAGGGUGCGUAGGCGGCGCGGUAAGUCGGGUGUGAAAUCUCGGGGCUUAACUCCGAAACUGCAUUCGAUACUACCGUGCUUGAGGACUGGAGAGGAGACUGGAAUUUACGGUGUAGCGGUGAAAUGCGUAGAUAUCGUAAGGAAGACCAGUGGCGAAGGCGGGUCUCUGGGACGGUACUGACGCUGAGACGCGAAAGCGUGGGGAGCAAACAGG